rnacentral:lncRNA from 1 species
GACACACUUGAAGCUAGUAAGCAAAAGUUAUUUAUACACUUGAUUAUAAUAUCAUAAUAAUUUCAUUUCAAGUAACUAAACGUUUACAUGAGAUCGUCUUCUACUAAAUGUAUGUUAUUACUCCGAAUAUACGAAAUAAUGUGCAGAUCAAUAACUAGACGUUACAAUACAAAUCAAAAUCUGUCGUUUUCCUUUAACUUCAUAAAU